rnacentral:rRNA from 1 species
AGAUUGAACGCUGGCGGCAGGCCUAACACAUGCAAGUCGAGCGGUAGAGAGGUGCUUGCACCUCUUGAGAGCGGCGGACGGGUGAGUAAUGCCUAGGAAUCUGCCUAGUGGUGGGGGAUAACGUUCGGAAACGGACGCUAAUACCGCAUACGUCCUACGGGAGAAAGCGGGGGACCUUCGGGCCUCGCGCCAUUAGAUGAGCCUAGGUCGGAUUAGCUAGUUGGUGAGGUAAUGGCUCACCAAGGCGACGAUCCGUAACUGGUCUGAGAGGAUGAUCAGUCACACUGGAACUGAGACACGGUCCAGACUCCUACGGGAGGCAGCAGUGGGGGAAUA